AGAGGAGGGCGUGGUCCCCAGCUAGGGCUUCAUCCCUGGGCCUGGGCCUACCUAGGUGAAGACAGGCAUUUUUGUUUUCCUGCCCGGAUGUUGCAUUUCCCAAGACCACCCUGGCCUGCCAUGCCCUCAUCCUGUGCCUUUAAAAACCCCCGAGACCCUGGCAGGCAGACGCACAAGCAGCUGGACAUUGAGAGGAGCAUAUAGGCAGAGAAUACAGGGGCUGCUGGAUGUCGAAAGGAACGCACCAGCAUAGGAGCACACCGGCAUGCUGGCAGGCCAUUGACCAGCGGAAGAAUGCAGAGUUUGUCGCGGGAGGUCAGAGAAGAGUCAGGCCGCCAUACCUGACUCCAGGAGAAAACCGUCUCCCUUCUGGUUCCCCCGUCUGCCGAGAGCUACUUCCACUCAAUAAAACUUUCCACUCAUUCUUCAAGCCCACGUGUGAUCCAAUUCUUCCCGUACACCAAGGUCUCGCUGUGUUUCCCAGGCUGGGUGCAGUGGCUAUUCAAAGGUACAAUGAUAGCUCACUGCAGCCUGGAACUCCUGGACUCAAGCGAUCCUCCUGCCUCAGCUGCGACUAACAGGUCAAAACAGUCACAAGCCUGCUCAAAUUCGGAAAGAGGGGACGGAAAUGGAACCUCUUCAUGGGAGGAAGAAACAGGGUCUUGCUCUGUUGCCCUGGCUGGAGUGCAAUGGUAUGAUCAUAGCUCACAGUAGCCUUGAACUCCUGGGCCCAAGCCAUCCUCCUACCUCAGCAACCAGAGUAGCUGGGAUUACAGGCGAAUGCCACCACACCUGGAAUUGGAAAAAUGAAUGUAAUUUGACAUAUGUCUUGAGUCUGGUUGGCUUCUGAGGAACUUGUGUGCAUCUCAUCAGUAUGCAUCUUAAGAACUGAAAUGACCCUACUUCAGCAUUGUGAGAAGACAUGCAUUCUCUUCGUAUAAAUAAUGUGGAUCUUACAUGUAAAGUAUUAUAAAGAUUAGCUGUUUAACAACUUAAAUAAGCUUGUGAAUAAUAAAUUAAUAACAAUGUUAUGCUAAUACGUAACUAUGAUAUUUGCUGAACAAAAUAAAUUUGCCUACUUUGGAAGCAGAUUGGGUGGUUUAAUAUAUCAGCAAAAGAGUGUUUUUAAAAAAUAUCAAAGUUCUGUUAAUCAAAACGUUUAUUGUAGGACAGUUAGUAAUGUUUUGUUUGCCAACUUAUAUUACAAAGUCUCUGUCUUAAGUGUUUCCUUGCAAAUAAAAUGACAAUACUGCCUUACAUUUUAUUACUUUAGAGUUUGCAAAAUAUCUUCAUUAUAAUAUUUCAUUUAGUAGACAUGCCUAUGGGAACAUUACUUCCAGAAUUAAAAACAUUAUUUUUGUUUUGGUAUAUUUUUAAACUACAAAUGAUAGAAAGGCAAGUAAAUGUAAGUUUUUCUCUAGUUAUUUGUUCAAAUGCUAAUUUAAAACAUUUGUACAUUUCUAAUACAAACAUUCCUUAUUUGAGAAAAAAUGGAUUUCUUAAAAACAAAAUGCAUUUUAAAGCAGAGAGACAGGGCAUUGAGCUGAAAAUGGUGGCUGGAAGUUGGGAUCUGUAAGAGAAGUUGAAUGUGCCCCGAGGCAUAAAGCUGCUAAUUUUGUUUUAUUGGAUUUUACUGUAGCUAUUAAUAUAUUUUGCUGGAGAUUUAUGUGAUCAAUUUAUCUUAUGGCCAGAACUAAUUCCCUUAGUAUAUUUUAUUAGAAUAUGUGACUUUUUCUAAAUUUAGCUUUAUUUUUCAUAUUUUCCAUAAAUGGCAAAGAUUCUAUGUUUCCAGACAUGUUAAGUAUUGCAAGAAUUAUUGGAGCACCUAAAGAUAAAUAAUAUCAAAAUAGUGUCAUUGUUUCCCUUAGUUUCUCCUUCUCCCCCACAAAUAAACCAAGAGGUAUUUAGUUAUACUAUUGCAUGUCUCUAGCUUUAUUGGAUUCUUCCAUGAAAGAAAAAUGGAUUACAUUUUUGGUUGUGUGGCCCUCGUUGCCCUAUUGCACUUUUGAUAAUAUUUGCCUGUGACAAGUAGUUAUUUUUCAUUACCACAUUCAAUCAUGGGUAAUAAAAUAUUUUAAUAAUGGUG
rnacentral:lncRNA from 1 species